AAGAUUUUAUUUAUUUAAAUAAAAAGAGGGUGAUCAAGUAAGCUACUGUGUGUCAAAGUCUUUCAUAAAUGUCUGUUGUCAUUUUUUUCUUUUUCUUUC